rnacentral:rRNA from 1 species
UACGGAGGGGGCUAGCGUUAUUCGGAAUUACUGGGCGUAAAGCGCACGUAGGCGGAUUGGAAAGUCAGAGGUGAAAUCCCAGAGCUCAACUUUGGAACUGCCUUUGAAACUCCCAGUCUUGAGGUCGAGAGAGGUGAGUGGAAUUCCGAGUGUAGAGGUGAAAUUCGUAGAUAUUCGGAGGAACACCAGUGGCGAAGGCAGCCCCCUGGGUCGAUACUGACGCUCAUGCACGAAAGCGUGGGGAGCAAACAGG